rnacentral:misc_RNA from 1 species
ACAAACUUGGUCAUUUAGAGGAAGUAAAAGUCGUAACAAGGUCUCCGUUGGUGAACCAGCGGAGGGAUCAUUACCGAGUUAACAAACUCCCAAACCCCUGUGAACUAUACCAAUUGUUGCUUCGGCGGUGCCCUCGCCCCCCGCGGUGAGGGUCCGCCAGAGGACCAAAAACUUUUGAAACCUUUGUAUCGUUGGCACCUCUGAGUGAUGAUAAAACAAAUAAAUCAAAACUUUCAACAACGGAUCUCUUGGCUCUGGCAUCGAUGAAGAACGCAGC